AACGCACAUUGCGCCCCCUGGCAUUCCGGGGGGCAUGCCUGUUCGAGCGUCAUUAUCAACCCUCAAACGGGGCUCUUUGUCGGGCCCGCGGUUUGACGUUGGCGGCGGUCCGGCGGACCCCUCCCAAAGACAGUGACGGCGUCUGUGGACCCUCGGUGCAACGAGCCCUCACCGGCACGCACGCGAGGCGGUUUGCGGGCGCGGUCUGAUCGGCGGCCGUACGGCCACCACUUUCUCAGGUUGACCUCGGAUCAGGUAGGAAUACCCGCUGAACUUAA
rnacentral:misc_RNA from 1 species